rnacentral:rRNA from 1 species
CCUACGGGGGGCAGCAGUAGGGGAUAUUGCUCAAUGGGGGAAACCCUGAAGCAGCAACGCCGCGUGGAGGAUGAAGGUUUUCGGAUUGUAAACUUCUUUUGUUAGAGAAGAUAAUGACGGUAUCUAACGAAUAAGCACCGGCAAACUCCGUGCCAGCAGCCGCGGUAUUACGGAGGAUGCGAGCGGUAUACGCAUGUAUUGGGUUAAAAGGGUGCGUAGGCGGAAUAUCAAGUCAGCGGUAAAAAUUCGGGGCUCAACCCCGUCGUGCCGUUGAAACUGAAGUUCUUGAGUGGGCGAGAAGUAUGCGGAAUGCGUGGUGUAGCGGUGAAAUGCGUAGAUAUCACGCAGAACUCCAGUUGCGAAGGCGGCAUACCGGCGCCCAACUGACGCUGAAGCACGAAAGCGUGGGUAUCGAACAGGAUUAGAUACCCUAGUAGUC